rnacentral:pre_miRNA from 2 species
CUUUCUACACAGGUUGGGAUCAGUUGCAAUGCUGUGUUUCUGUGUGGUAUUGCACUUGUCCCGGCCUGUUGAGUUUGG